UCAGAUGAGGACUCAGCUUGUUAUUGAGGACGAGAUCCAGUUGCAGAUGACAGCUGAGUGCAAACUGAGACAGACAAGAACAGCUCUGCUCCUGAUUCACCGCUGAGGCCACAGAUCUACAACCCUGAGAGUGAAAUGGUGUGAUUGAUCAUCAAUGCCUGCAGGUACGUGGUGCUGAAGAUCCGGGCUGCAGUGAGGGGCGAGUCGCAGCCAGAGAAAUCUUCAUCAUCAUGUAACCAGGCAAAAGGACAAAUGGACGGCAGGAUGAAUGCCGAUGGGUCAUCCUUGAUUCCCCAACCCACACAGACAGUCGAUGUCCUGCAGAAGGAAGAGUGUGGAUCCUGAAAGUAAACCGAGAGCCGGAGGGUAGUGUGGAAGGUCUAUCUGUAACAUCAUACACACAUGAGAUUCAUGGGUUAAUUCAUUAACUAAUGCAAAUGGGUCUGUCUGUGUUCCCGCCACAAUCUCACCACGCAAACACAGACACUUCCAUUCAUUAAAAACCCAGACAAAUCAACUCUGAACUGAGAUGGACUCCCGCCUGCUUCCAGCUCUCGGUUUUCUUUUUUCCCUGCUCGUCCUUCAUCCAGUGGAGAGGGCAGUCCGAGUUGGCAGAGAGAAUGAAAGGCUGAUCACCAAUUCCCCCUACAGAGGAACGGAUCAGUCUGGAUAAAGACUCUGCUGAUAAAGCUGCGCCAAGUCAUAAUUAUAUUCAUGUAUUCACAGGCCUGUUGUUUUUCUCGGUCACUGUAAUAGUUUUCAGUAAAAAAACAAGAGCAUAAAUCUUG